GCUGCCGGAGCGCCGGGCGCCGCGCCGCUGCCCGGGCUCAUGCUAGUCCCGCCGGACCCGUGCUAGUCCCGCCGGGCUCCGCGCUCCCCCGCGCGGCACCGGCUUGCAGGCGCCCGCGUACAAAGCCCCGCGCACAGCAGGGACCCGGCCCCCUCUCGCCCGCUCCCGCUCCGCCUCCUUUCCGUCCGUUCGUCCUUCCUUCCUUCCUUCCUGGCGGUGGCGGCGGAGCGCUGGGGCCGGCUCCGCAGCACCGGGCACCCCGCAGCACCGGGCUGCGGCCAGCGGGCAGGGAGAGCUGCGGGCAGGGCGGCCUUGCGGGCCGGGCCCUGGCCAUCGGCCCUUCGGGCACCACUCCCGCCCCAAGCCAGCCGCGGGGCGAAUGGACAUAGGCGAGGGAAGGGCGCCGGGAGAGAUCUGCAUCCCCGGGGCACCCCUGCGCAGAGCCUGCGGGGUUCACCCACGCAUCCUCCGCCGCCUUUCCCCAUCGGCGCCUGAAGAACCGGCUCUCGCCAGGAGGGUCUAGUCAGUCACACCGCCACACUGAAAACCCACCACACUCCACAAGGAUAUCCAGGACACCCGGCCUGCCCCCCUCGCUGGCGCUCAAAGUCUUCUGACAUGGUAUCUGAAAGAGUACUCCCCUUUGAAGAGAGGAAUUCAGAGCAAGUUUUCUCCUGCUCUUGAAUUGUUUGAAGUCAAGUGUUGUUACUGGGAUGAAUCAAAUAUAUAAUUAAAGACCAAGUUUAA